rnacentral:rRNA from 1 species
AAUUUGACUCAACACGGGAAAACUUACCAGGUCCAGACAUAGUUAGGAUUGACAGAUUGAAGAUCUUUCUUGAUUCUAUGGGUGGUGGUGCAUGGCCGUUCUUAGUUGGUGGAGUGAUUUGUCUGGUUAAUUCCGUUAACGAACGGGACCUCAGCCUACUAAAUAGAUAGCCGAAGAGUUUAUCUCUUCGCGCUAGACUUCUUAGAGGGACUUUCGGUAUACAGCCGAAGGAAGUUUGAGGCAAUAACAGGUCUGU